UUCCUGGAGGUUCAGUGGUUAGGACUCUGCACCUCAAAUGCCAGGGGCCCAGGCUCAAUCCUUGGUCAGGAAA
rnacentral:tRNA from 1 species